rnacentral:sRNA from 1 species
GGCGACCCAGGCAAACAGCAGCAACUUGUUGAAGUGCUCUUCCGGGUUGUAGGAGGUUUGUUCUUUUCCUAUUUGCAGUAUAUGUACUGCUGCUGCUCGUUCUUUGGGUCCUUGCCGCGUUUAUGAGCUGUAAUGCUCACGGGAAAGGUGUGCAGCUUCACUCCUCAAACUCUAGCAAGAUUACUGAACCAUGGAAGCUCAGGACGAGCCACUUUUAUGAACUGUAACACUUACUACGAAGAUGUGCAGCUGUACUCCUGAAGUCAGCGAGACCAGGAGCCCACCUGGAGGAAGAAACUGCAGACACAUUUGAAGGAACAACUCCGGACGAGGUCCCCGUAAGAACUCUAGCACUCACCGCGAGAGUCCGCAGGGCUUCAUUCUUGAAGUCAGGGAGGCCAAGAACCCACCAAUUCUGGACGGGGAGGGCUAAAUUGACAUAUAAAACAAGGUAUACAGUCUUUUGCAUGCAAAUACUCUGUUCGUUCUGAAAUGGAAAGUAGAAGUCCCGUAGCAGCUGGGUAACAGGGAGAGAGAAGAACUCUUUCAGGUCAUCAAUAACCUUGGUCCUUUGGAACUGAUUCUUAAUACUCCUAGCCAUCAUAGGGUUCAUCAUG